UCUUGCUUGAGCCGUCACUCCUCCCUCCCCUCCUUCUCUUCUCCCUUCCCUCUCUCAAUUCCCUCUCCCUCACGGCCCACAACAGCUGCUGGCACACCAGACCACCAGCAGACCACCGUGAGUAGCCCGCAGCAGCACAGCCGCGUUUUCCCUCCCCCACGCACUACAAGCAGCAGCCUCACCACGAACGACCACAGCAGCGGCUGUUUCGUGAGCCACCAACAGGUAUAGCAGCCGCAAGAGGUGGUUCCUCCACCAUUUUCGUGCUCCACACCACUACAAAAACCACUUAUACCCUCACCCAUUUCUAGUUCCCCUUGUGCCCGGUUCAUAAGAGGGGCGUAAGAACCCCUUCGAAGCGAUUUUUGUGGCUUGUCAUCUUGCAGUGCAGCAGGGGCGUCGUAGAUAGGUCUUGCAGGUUUUGGAGUUUCCUUGCAUUGCAUAUGGGGGGGGAUCGAGUGAGAACCUUGACGCGUGCCGUGUUCGAACCAUUUUUGACGCUACAUGUGAUUUCGAAUUGAAAGUGUGUAUGUUUUGGUUGAGGCAUGAGUCCUCCUUUUGAUGUAAUUCGUUCCGCUGCAAAGAUUUAUAUCGUUUUAUAUUUUGUUAUAGUAUCUUGAAUGGCUUGUACAGUGGAUUAUCUUUUUGCUUGGAAAACCCAAGUGUUUACAUGGGAACCACGAUCCAUGCUUAGCAUGUCGACAGAGGUUUUGGCGAUGACCUUUCCGCCGUGAUUCUGUUACGAGGCCAUUGAUGCCUCUUCAUUAUGAUGAUUUAUCGUUUGUCUAAAUCUUCGGCGCGUCAAAUUUCAAGGCAGAUGCUGCCGAAAUUUCCGUAGGAUUUUGUUUGGAAGUUUUCAAACGUCAUCUCUUUCUUUUCCCUAUUUAAAUAAUUAUUUAUUUCUACAAGUGACACCCUUGAAGGGUCUGAAAUUCAGGGGUGUUACAAUCAUAGUUGUAAUUUCAGCCUAAUUAACUACAUGAAUUAGGUUUGGAUCAAAGAUUUCAGAACCGCAAUCAAACCCUCUAUUACU